rnacentral:rRNA from 1 species
UACGAAGGGGGCUAGCGUUGUUCGGAAUUACUGGGCGUAAAGGGCGCGUAGGCGGCCGUGCAAGUCAGAUGUGAAAGCCCUGGGCUCAACCCAGGAUGUGCAUUUGAUACUGCAUGGCUAGAGUGUCGGAGAGGAUGGUGGAAUUCCCAGUGUAGAGGUGAAAUUCGUAGAUAUUGGGAAGAACACCGGUGGCGAAGGCGACCAUCUGGACGACAACUGACGCUGAGGCGCGAAAGCGUGGGGAGCAAACAGG